rnacentral:rRNA from 1 species
CGUGAAGCCAACCUCAAGAUGAGAUUUCCCAUAGCGUAAGCUAGUAAGAUCCCUUGAAGAACACAAGGUUGAUAGGUCGGGGGUGUAAGCGUGGUAACAUGUUCAGCUGACCGAUACUAAUAGAUCGAGGGCUUGACCAA